AUGGAACAUUGGCUGUGGAUUAUUCUUGCUGCUCUUUUCUUUGAGUGUAAAGGAGAAGACAAAGUGAUGCAGACACCAGGAGAUGUCAUUACUACAGAAGGAGACACUCUCACACUCAACUGUACUUUUGAAACCAGUGACACAAACCCCUAUUUGUUCUGGUACAAACAAGAAGUUAAUAGUUUUCCAAAGUAUAUUUUGCACCGUAGUAACUAUGCAGAAGAUGACAAUGCUCCAGAUUUCCCUAAAGACAGAUUUGAUGCUGAGCUCAAAGACAAAUCAGCUCCUCUGAAGAUCCAGAAGCUUCAUGUGUCAGACUCUGCUGUGUACUACUGUGCUCUGAGGCCCACAGUGACAGGAAACACCAAAACUCUGAACAAAAACCUUUGGAGCAAAGACAACACAAUACUCCACAACACCCACUAGAGGGAGACACCCUCUGUUCAACCACUGAUUUCUGACUCAUUGGACUGAGCACAAAGACAACAGAGAAAUGAAG